UUAUGUUCCUUAAUACUAUCCUUUUCAUUCUCUUAUUCUUCCUUUUAACUCCCUCUUUGUGCUAUGUUCUAUGUUUGAUUUUGCACCUCAUGGUUUCUCUAUAUGUUCUUUCUGAGUUCAAUAAGUUACUAUGUUGGUCCCGAUUCUGGGGGCAUUCAUCUUUUGAUUUUGGCUUUUUUUCUUUACUUGUGAAUGACCAAAUUCAUUGAAUCUGUUUCCUCUAUUAAAAUUUGAAUGCUUUUGCAUUUUUCAAACAGUUUCAUUGGCAUUUGAAGUUAGUUUGAGAUCAAAAUCCAAGGUCUUAAUUCAAACUGUGGUGGAUAAGUUUUGUUUAAUGUUUUGGGUUACUGUCAUGGUUGAUCAAUGGUUGCGCACCUAUUUAUUGUCAAAUAGAAAAUCCCAUCUUUGUUUCUAGCCGUUGGAUGUCCCCAUCCAAGUUUGAUUGGAGUUCUUAAUAGAGGACAAAUCAGUGUAGUGUUUUUAUCUAUCACCUUUUCGAAAGCGUCACUGAGGCUCAAGCGGUACUAUCACUACAACCUCAACCCAUUCCCUUUUUGUCUCUCACCUUUACGUGUGAACCAAAGAGAGGCACAAUGCUUCACAACGCUAGGUUGUAUCCUGGUGGUAUCCUUGUCAAAGACCAAUUGUGCAUUGAGAAAUCAAGUAGGGCAUUCAAUGCCUUGAAUACAUCAAAAUAUUUUGUACCCUCCUGGUCCAAAUCAAGCAAGGCCCGUGUUAGGUUUUUGCUUGUUCAGCUUUGAAGUUUGUUUCGAUCAUGACUUAAUGUUUUUUCUACCUUGUUGGAAUUCUUGCCACGGUAAUGCAUUUGACUAUGUUCUAGCUGUGGUUGACUUGAGAGUUUCAUGCGAUGUGCGCUUUAUGCUCAGUCUUAUUGCUUCAUAAAACCAUACUUCAUCCAGCUGUUUUUCCUGCCGUUGAAAACAUAAACUGAGCAUUUAUUGUGCUUAAACAGUCAUGCUAUAGUUGACUAUUAACAUGCUAUAGUUGACUAUUAACAUCAUCAUUAUCAUCAGAGCCUUAUCCCAACUAUUUGGGGUCAGUAUAAUGUAGAUUCAAGAUUCAUGAAAAGUUUCGGUAAAGUUUUAUGCUGGCUGUCUACCUAACAUAACUCUACUCUCCUCCUUUACUUGGACUUGGGACCGGCAUAUGACUGGUAAGGGCCGGCCAAGGUGGAGUUCUACAGUUCACUAUUAACAUUGUGGUUAAACACUUAAUCACGAUGUUUUCACUGCAAUUAACAAUUCAUUCUGCAGCUGGCAUUUUUACCAUAGUUAAAAAAAAUUUAUCGAUAUUUCAUGGUUAACACUUAAUACUACAUGAGUUUUUUUACUGUAAGUGAUAGCUAAACUAAAAUCUCACCACAUUAAAUGUUUUUCGCCACAGUUAACGGUCCUUACUAUGGUUAAGUAGAAUUCCCACUAUGUAAAUGAUUCUUGACACGACUGUGUCCACUACAGUAAUUUAAGAGUUCAGACGCUCUUCUUUUGAUCUCUUGAUACUCAGUUCCUUGAUUCUUUAUGCAUCCGUUAUUUUGAGGCUAAAAGAUCCAAAAUCUGGCUUUUUAGGACCCCGCAAACAACAUUUUCUACCAUAGUGUAUAUCAAUUAACAACCUAACAACAUUUUCUACCAUGGUGUAUAUCAAUUAACAACCUUGUUAUUUCUUUUCAUUUCAAAUGUCCAUUUGAGAUGUUAUUUUGCAAGAAACCACAGGCCAAAUUAUAAUUUCAUGAUUAUUUCUACUCUACGUUUAGAGGAGUAACAUUGUACUAAAGAGCAUGAAUCUUCGGUAGUGAAGGCUUUAUCAUUGAUCAUUUUAAGGAACUAUGGAAUAGCAUAAUGCAAGGGCAUCUACCAUGAAAAAUGAAUGUGUUUCUUCACAUAAAUGUAGCAAACAAAACCCAGGAUCGUUAUUCUUAAUUUUUGAGUACUUUAGUGGUAGGAAUCAAAACUUGGAAUGUAGUUUUGCAAUCAUGGAUAACUGACCAAGCAAACCCAGGCCUGAAUACUGAAAACUCAGGAUCUCAUGUGUCCUCUGCAAGAUGGGACUUUUGUUUUGUACCAAGUUCAUCCAGAAGGUACUUGCUAUCCAACAUAUUGUCCUCAAGCAGGCACCUCAAGCUUGUUUUGAGAAAUUUGGUCAUUUCCUGGGGUUUAAGCUAAAGGAUGCUGCAGUGAAUGAUCCUUGUUCUUAAGAGCUCUUUGUCACAGAACCUUUCCACGGUCCUACCUGUGUUUAUGAUUACAUUAUUAUGGGAGAUGUCAAAGAUGGGAUGUAGUUAACAAUUAACCAGAGCAUGCGAACACGAGAGACAGAAGGAGGUUCACUACCUUGGAUAAAUUUUGAGAUGAGGAGCGUUUUUGAGUCUAAGGAUUACUUGUGGGAUAGAGAUUAACAGAUGAAGAUGGCCAUGCAUCUCAAAAUAGGUAUUCGUUAGCACCACUUCGCCAGCAAAUUUAUAAAACUGCAAACACCCGUUGCAGUAACAAAUUGUAGCUUGAGGAUCUUGUAAAUACAUGCAAGCACCUAACAACCUUGUAAGUUCUUGGAUGGUCUCAUGGGUGUACUAGAUGAAAUGGUUGGCUUGUGUUCUAGAGGCCUAGAUGCCUGGGUUCAUGUUCUAUAUGGUAAAUGGUCCUAUAUUGACUCAUUGUGUUCCACUAAGAUUCCCAACUCCUAGUAUGGCCUAUGGCGAGAAGUAAAGGCCUUGUUAACAUUGGAAACAAGAAUCGAGUAUUGAGGCAUGAGCACCAUAGCUACAAAGAAUCAAGAUGAUUCGUUGAUAAAUGAGGCUUACCAACUGGAGUUACAUUCUUUUUUUUGGGUAGUUCAGUGGGGAUGGGGUCCCUACCUGUAGUAGGAAUAGAACUUAAGACAUUAUGUUGUGGCGACCCACCACCCUGACCGCCUAGUCUUGAACCCAUCCUAGGAGAUAGGAGAUACAUUCUUAUGAUGUGAUAAACAAGGUUCAAAAUACCGGAGCUGCUGAGGUCCUAAUCCAUAUAGUACAAUAGUGGCCAAUAUAUCAGGGUUUAAGACAGAAUAAUAAAUUGAUAACUAAUUUUUGCAUAUAACAGGCAACACUCGAAAGUAUUUGGAUGUAAUGGACUUUCUGAUAGAUAUAAUGGUGCUUUUUUUUCCAUUAAUAUAUCUAAGAAAUAAUGGGCUUGUAACAUAUAUGAUCCACGACUGUUUGUACAAUGCCAAAAUGUAAUGGUCCCCAACAAGGCAAAGCACGUAGAUGUGUGGUGGCCUAUUUGUUCUCAGGUGAGCAGUUUCAAAGGAGAUUAAGGCAGAUCACUUGCCAUCCUUCCGAGUAAGCACCAGCCUGGUGAUAGAAGAGAAUUUUUAGUCAAGCUAGGAUCGAUAUCUUGUAUGCUCCACUUGGGGGAGAUAGUUUUAUGUGUGUGCUUCUUCAAUGCUUCAUAGAGAGUGACAACCUUCUCUUCAUUUGGUUUCAAUUUACAGUUUAUGAGCGAGUUGGUCAGAGUGGUGGCCCCUGGAGGCACCAUUAUCAUUGCGAGUUGGUGUCACAGGGAUCUGUCUCCUGAUGAAAAGUCGUUGCGUCCUGACGAGCUACAUAUCUUGAAUCGAGCGUGCAAUGCUUAUGAAAUUCCUGCCUGGUGUUCAAUGGCUGAUUACAUCAACUUGGCCCAGUCCUUUUCUCUCCAGGUACAUACAUGCAUACAUAUCGCUAUGCUACUCACUCAAAUAAAUAAAGUUGCAUAUGCGUAUUUGAGGAUGAUUAAUCUUCCACUCCUACUUUCUCUUCUCAGUAGAAAUACCAAAUUUAUACCCCUCUCUCUCUCUCUCUCUCUCUUUGCAGGAUAUCAAAACAGCUGACUGGUCCGAUAACAUAGCCCCGUUCUGGCCAGUAAUUUUACGCUCCUCCUUCACUUUUGAUGGCCUCACCUCGCUCUUUAAAUCUGGUAAGAUUCUCAUUUCUAAAUUCUUGUUCUUUCCCCAAGAAUCAUUUCUUCAAAUGGUUCACAAGACGUUGCAUGUGGCACUUUGCAUAUUGUUCAGUAGAUAAUUUUUCAUUUAUAUAGGAACUGGUUUAUCCUCAUCCGUGGUCUUUAACAAGGGGAAAGCAUUUUGUAAGGCCAUGGUUUUAUGGAACUGUAUCACAAAUCUCCCCAAAAAAUAUGGUUUCAAUGCUGGAUAACUUGCAAACAUAUCAUCUCAGCCUCAAGCAAUCAUGGAUAUGGAAAAAGUAAUGAAUCCAAAGUCCUCAAAAUAGUCUAUCUACUAUUCAGAACUGUUUAUUUCAAGUGUCUGCAGAUCUGUUAGAUCUAGAUCAUUUUUGGAACUUGAAAAAUUCAAUUGUUAGAGGUGGAAUAGAUUAGCACAUUGUUAUAAGAGUUUCUAGCAUUGGAACUGCAUUUUUCCAAUAGGGUUUCAAGGUUCAACUUUUACCAAAUAUCAGUAAGCCACUACGGCCAAAGCCCUACAAAUUCUCCUCCAUUUACCUUUUGUACAAGGAUGUCACAAUCAUUUUCGUGUUGUAAGAUUUCAUAAUGGGUGGUUGUAAGAGUGUCAUUGAUUAGAUAUAACGUUCCAAAAAAAAAAAAUUUCAAACUCUUUAACUCACCCUAAACCAUCCAGUUUGACAUCUAAUGAGUAGAAAUAGUUGUGUCCUCUUGUACAAAAGAUGAAAUGUCUCUUUAUGGACAAUCCCUUUAUGAAUAUGAAUCAUGAAUAAAGAAAUUUGUUUCCUGUACUAAAUCUUUUUUUUUAUUGCAAAUAGGAUGGAAAACCAUUAAACUUAUCCUUGGAUUGAGUGUGCUGAAAGAGGGUUACGACAAGAAGCUAAUCAAAUUCGCAAUUAUGACAUGUCGAAAACCCGAGUGAACACCAACAGCAGCUUGCCGGAGUGAACACCAACAGCAGCUUGCCGGAGUGCACACCAACAGCAGAGAAGAUCAGAAAAGAACCAUCGUUGUCAGCUAUUUUGAAUUUUUCGAACUCUAGGGUCUCUGCUUUCGCUUCAAGGUGUACUACAAUAAGCCACAUUGUCUAUAUUCAAAUGAUCGUGGGAAUUUCCAGUUUUCAUUACAAAAUUUUCCACUUUUCCUAUUCAAAUUGAAUGGGUAAAAUGAAUAUAAAGCGCGUGGAGAGCAGAUGGGGAAAUUGCAGUAUAUCUCGAUGACUGUCACAAGACUGCCGGUAAUCGUAAGUUGGUAACAAGCAAAGUAACACCAAUUUGUCAAUAAAAGGAAAUUGACUUCAUGUUAUGAUAACAUUCGGAGGUGCGUCUAAAUUGGAUUGGAGUCUGUCCAUUUUCAAGAUUUUUAUAUAUUUAUAGAUCUUCUUGAUUUUAGCGGUUGGAGUUUAAAAUUUUAUAUUUAAAUAUGAAAAUAGAUUUUGAGAUAAUCUUAAGAAAUUUUUACACCAAAAUUUCAUGUUAUGAUAUCAUUUGGAGGUGUGUCUUGGAUUGUUUAAGGUUGCAACCUAUAUAUAUAGGUAGAAAAGAUCAUGUCAGACAAUGGCCAGAUUGAAUUUGAGUUCAUCUGACGGUUAUAAUUUUAUUUUAUGUUUGAAUUUUCAAUUUUUUUUUAAAUCCAAAUCACUUGAAAUUUGGAGCGUCUAUUUUUUAACAAUAGAAUAAUAUAAUAAAAAUAUAUAAAAAAAUAAUUCGUAAAAUAUAAAUUGACCAAAAUACUCUUAAAAUGUUUUAGGGGUAUUUUGGUUAAUUUAUAUUUUGUGAAUUAUUAUUUUUUCCAUUCUUAUUAGGUGCGCUUUGAUGAGAAGAAUGAACGCAUAAAAUUUCAAGUGAUUUGGAUUUGUUAAAAAAAAUAUAUAUAAAUUCGAAUACGAAAUGAGUAACUAUCAGAUUAGCCUAGAUUGAAUCUGGACCACUCGCUGACACUGUAGCAGUCAGUCAGUGGGUUGAUAGAAUCCACUAUAUAUAUAUAUAUAUAUAUAUAUAUAUAUAUAUAUAUAUAUAUAUAUUAUUGUAUUGUAUGUAUUCAUAUAGUAGUAUGUAUUCUUAUUUUACUUUUUAAUUUGCUAGUUGGUUGUUUAGUAAUACGNNNNNNNNNNNNNNNNNNNNCCUAUCCCCCUGUGUGCCUUGCCUCCCACGUACUUUUGCAUUGGUGUUUGUAAUGACCUAACUUUUUCACAUUUAUAACAUUACUGGUAAGUUUCCUUUUAUUUUUAGUAUUUGGAGAGAAUUUGUUUAUAAAUUUUUGUUUAGACUUUUUAUAUUGUUUAUGUGCUUUAUUGGAUUUGGAUUUAUAUUUGUUUUUUUUGUAUUUUUUCUUUUUCUUAUAUAACUUUUCAUGUUUAUUUUUUCUAUCUCAAUGGUAUCCAAAUUGUUCACAGAAAUCAUCAAGUUCUUUUUGCUUGGUAAUUUGCUGUUUAUCUAACUGUCUUUUGAGUUUAAGAUCAGUACAUAAAGCUAAUCCUUCAGCACAUAUUUCUGCUGAUAGUUCUCCAAGUGUAUAAGCCGAGUAUACUAUAACUCCAUUAUGGUUCUUUCUAAGUCUUUCUUUGACUUUUUCGGUAAAUAAGUAUGGUAAACCAGCAAUAAAUUUUUCUUUUCAAUGGUCUAAUUGACAAUCUUUUCGUAUUAGUAAUAUUGAGAAAAAGACAUUCUUAUACCAUUUAUAAUGGGAUAAUGUAGGACAACGAAGAUUGGAUAGCAGAUCUCUGAUCUUGUUGCCAAUAGGGCAGUACUUCUUACAAAAUGUAAUGUAAUUGUAUAUAUUAAGGUGUUUACUGCAACACUUUCAGUAUAGAUUAUUUCUUGAUUUUGUUCAUUUCUGGCGGUCCAUUGUCUUGUAUUGGUAAGGAUUCUAUUUUUGGUUUCAUCAUCCACAUAGAAAUCCCACCAGCCUCUUAACCAGCCAGUGAAUCCAUUUACUAUUGCUUUGGCAACUUGGUCUGGGUUGCUUGCCAUUUUGUUUGCUAAAGCAAACAUUGUCAUAUGUCUCAUGACAUCUAGUAUUUUUAAUUCAGAUAAACCAUCUAUUGUCCAAUUAACUAUUGAUCUACCUGAAUAGAAAACAACUUGUUGUAUGGCAUCUUCUUCAAGUUGUACAUCAACAGGUGUAAGUCUCUUAUAAUAUGGUAAAGUUGUGAUUGGUUUCCAUGUUUUACCAUAGGCGAUUCUGUUUAUAUCCAUAGGUGUAGUAUCCAUGAAAGCAGAUUCUUGGUUUUGUAUGGUAUCUUCUAUAAUUGGUUCUUCUUCUUGGAGCAUCAUUGUUUCAUGCUCAGGUAUCUUUAUUUUUCCUUAAUCUGAAGAUUCUGGGAUAGUUGGUAAAGGUUUUAUUAUUUUCGCCGAUAUGGAAUUUAUUUUUAUUGAGUUCUGGAGGUGGUUUAAACAAAACUGCUUUAGGAGUUAUUCCCUUAGUUUGAGGAGUAACUAAUCGUUCUAUACGUUCUGCUUGUUUUCCUAAAGAUUGCAUAUAUAAAUUAGUAUAAUUGUUUUGUUCCACGAUAUGAGGUAUUAGUUCUUGUUUUUACCUAUUUUUUUAGGUAGGACUUUAUAUGGUGUUGCAAUAAUAUCAUAUAGAGAUUGUGGUGCUUCUCCUUUGCUUAAUGGGGUUAUGGCACUUUUGAGUAUUAUACUUUUUUCAAGAGGGUGUGUACUAGCAGUAGUAGUACCAUCCGUACUAAUAUAUGUUUUUUCUUCUAUGGUUUGAAGAGUAUUAAAUGGAGGAAUGUUUAUUUUAUAUUGAGUACAUAUUUCUUAUAACCAUAUAAAAAAUCCUUUUGUUUCUCUUUCUUUUUUCAGAAAUUUGUUAUAUUUUUUAUGGAAUAAUUCUAUUAACCUAGGUUGAAAAGUUUGAAGAUACCAUUCCCUAAUACCUUGAUUUUCUAGAGAAAGAUAAUCUUUUUUGAGAUAUUGAAUAUCUAUUUUUCUCUUUCUUCGUUCUAAUUUAGCAGUUAAAUAUGUUUCUAUAUGUGUAUCAUAUGCAUUAUUAUUAUUUAUAUCUUCUUCUAUAUCAUCUUCUAUUUAUAAUGUAAGUAUUUGAAAUUCAGCUAUGUCAGGUUCAGAUGUAUAUGUAGGAAUGACUACAUGAUCAGCUGUUCUUUUGACUCCUUGUAAUUGGAAGUCUGAAGAUGUUGUAGGUAUUGUCGGAGAAUAAAGUAUGAUAACAUCGGGAGUAGUAUGACAAGAUUUUCUAGCAGGUAUUAAUGGUUUUUUAUUUCUUUUCCUAUUAAUAUCUAUAUCAUCCUGUACUAUAGGCUGUUGGAAUUUUAUUUCAAUAUUUCCAUCUUGAUGUUCUAUCAUUUGGUUUGGAAUAUUAUUCACAGGUACUUCUCUGGGCUGGUUUGCAUUUUGCAAUGCCCAUGAUUGAGGUAGAAUAAUAUCGGACCAAGUAAUGGUUUUUGGUAUAAUCGUAUUUGAUUUUUCUAAAUUUGUUUGAAAUAAUAUAGUUUGAUCCUUUUUAUCAGCUUGCAUAAUAUUAGGACAGAGAGUAUUCAUUACUUUAUAAUAAAUUCUGUAUACUAUUGCCAAAUUCUGAGAACCAUGUAUCAUAUUAAAUCCAUGAGUUUUCAAAUUUGUAGUUAAUAUAUCUAAUAUAUUUGGGUCGGUUAAAGAAACAGAAAAAUUUGGAAACUUAUUGUGUCUUGUAUCUCUUAGGCAUACAAGCACUGAAGUGUUUAACCCUAAACGAGUUAAAGGUUUAAUGACUAUUUGGAUUAAUUCAAUGUGCAAAUAUUUUCUUUAUGUUUUUCAAUCAUUUUUCUUGAUAAUAAUUGAAAGUCUUCUUGGUUUUGAGUUACAGAUAGACUUUCUUCUACUGUUUUUAUAGCAUAACCUAAUUUAAAUUUGAAUGAUCCUUUCUAGUAAAUAUCUUUUAUUGGUACUUUAGGAAUAUUCCAAUUUUGGAUAUGAUGUUCAAUAUCAUUUAUGAUGAUCUCCUCUUUAUUUUUAACUCUUAAUGUUUGAGUUUGAGUUGCAGUAUUACCUUUAAGAUUCCUAAUUAAAUUUGCCAUCUGUAGGUUGCAGAUAAUGACAAUCUGGACGAUCAAGGGUCCAGCGUGUUCCCCUAAGCGGCUCUUCCUGGCCUUGACGGGUACUUUGCCUAGACUUUUCUUUUCGUCUCUUG
rnacentral:lncRNA from 1 species